CAGUUAUUCAUGUAAUGGGAUGGUGGGCCGUUAUAUCAACGUAGUCAUGACUGGACGAAAAUCUCAGCUCUCUGUGUGUGAAGUGGAGGUCUAUGGAACAGAGAAUUUUGCAUUGAGAGGAAGUGCUUCACAGUCAUCUGACAACUGGACACCUAUAAAAGCUAUAGAUGGUAUAAGAAGUGGCCAAGAUCCUUUCACACACUGCUCCGCCACAAACAAUGAAACUAACCCAUGGUGGAGGUUGGAUCUCUUGAAUAUUUAUAAUAUUAAUACAGUGGUCAUCGCUUCCAGGAGAUACUGCUGUUCUGACCAAAUCAACGGAGUGGAGAUUCGGAUCGGAAACUCCUCGGAAGACCAUGGCAACUAUAAUUCCCUAUGUGCUGUUACUGAUAGAAUUGAACAAGCUGCAGCUGUAAGUUACUCGUGUGAUGGAAUGAGCGGACGAUUUGUGAAUGUUGUCAGGCCUGCAUUUUGGUAUCUUACCAUCUG